CAGCUUCUGGUUGGACUACUCCGAUCGCCAACUGUCCACUAUCACCAACAGGUUUCGAAAGGCUGGACUACUGUAGAGGAUAGCUCAAGCUAAAUGACUAAUUUGUUUCGAGACAACAAACAGCUACAACAAAAUAGAGAGACUGACAAAAAGGAGGUGGAGGAGGACGGCCAUGAACGACUUUUCCGCGGUGUUGCAGUUGAUGUGAAUCCACAAGCAGGAACAAAUGUUGAGCACAAAUGGACAAGGAGA